AAGCGCGCGUAGGUGGUUCGUUAAGUUGAAUGUGAAAUCCCCGGGCCUCAACCUGGGAACUGCAUCCAAAACUGGCGAGCUAGAGUAUGGUAGAGGGUGGUGGAAUUUCCUGUGUAGCGGUGAAAUGCGUAGAUAUAGGAAGGAACACCAGUGGCGAAGGCGACCACCUGGACUGAUACUGACACUGAGGUGCGAAAGCGUGGGGAGCAAACAGGAUUAGAUACCCGGGU
rnacentral:rRNA from 1 species